CCGAAUUCGUCCACUACAGAGUUUGAUCCUGGCUCAGAUUGAACGCUGGCGGCGUGCCUAACACAUGCAAGUCGAGCGGUAACGCGGGAGCAAUCCUGGCGACGAGCGACGAACGGGUGAGUAAUGCUUCGGAAUCUUCCCAGUUGUGGGGAAUAACUAGCCGAAAGGUUAGCUAAUACCGCAUACGUCCUACGGGAGAAAGCAGGGGAUCGCAAGACCUUGCGCUAUUGGAUGAGCCGAAGUCGGAUUAGCUAGUUGGUAGGGUAACGGCCUACCAAGGCGACAAUCCGUAGCUGGUCUGAGAGGACGACCAGCCACACUGGGACUGAGACACGGCCCAGACUCCUACGGGAGGCAGCAGUGGGGAAUAUUGGACAAUGGGGGAAACCCUGAUCCAGCGACGCCGCGUGUGUGAAGAAGGCCUGCGGGUUGUAAAGCACUUUUAGUGGGGAUGAAAAGCCGAAGGCUAAUACCUUUCGGCCUUGACCUAACCCACAGAAAAAGCACCGGCUAACUCUGUGCCAGCAGCCGCGGUAAUACAGAGGGUGCAAGCGUUAAUCGGAAUUACUGGGCGUAAAGCGUGCGUAGACGGUUAUGUAAGUCAGAUGUGAAAGCCCCGGGCUCAACCUGGGAAUUGCAUUUGAGACUGCAUAGCUAGGGUGCGGAAGAGGGAAAGCGAAUUUUCCGGGGGAGCGGUGGAAUGCGUAGAUAUCGGAAGGAACACCAGUGGGGAAGCGGCUUUCUGGUCCCAGCACCCAACUUCAAGGCCGAAAAGCGGGGGGAAGAAAAAGGGAUUAAAUCCCGGGGAGUCCCCGCCCAAAAACAAUGAAAACUAAACGUUUGAAGGGGUAACCCCUCCCCGGGGCCCAACUAAAAGGCAAAAGUUUCUCCCCCUGGGGGGAGAACGGGCCCCGGGGGUGAAACCCCCAAGGAAUUGCCGGGGGAACCCCGCCAAAGG
rnacentral:rRNA from 1 species